UACGGAGGGUCCAAGCGUUAUCCGGAAUCAUUGGGUUUAAAGGGUCCGUAGGCGGCCUUAUAAGUCAGUGGUGAAAUCUCCUAGCUCAACUAGGAAAUGGCCAUUGAUACUGUAGGGCUUGAAUUAUUGUGAAGUAACUAGAAUAUGUAGUGUAGCGGUGAAAUGCUUAGAUAUUACAUGGAAUACCAAUUGCGAAGGCAGGUUACUAACAAUAUAUUGACGCUGAUGGACGAAAGCGUGGGGAGCGAACAGG
rnacentral:rRNA from 1 species